rnacentral:rRNA from 1 species
GACGAACGCUGGCGGCGUGCCUAAUACAUGCAAGUCGAGCGAAGUUUUUCUGGUGCUUGCACUAGAAAAACUUAGCGGCGAACGGGUGAGUAACACGUAAAGAACCUGCCUCAUAGACGGGGACAACUAUUGGAAACGAUAGCUAAUACCGGAUAACAGCAUAAAUCGCAUGAUAUAUGUUUAAAAGUUGGUUUCGGCUAACACUAUGAGAUGGCUUUGCGGUGCAUUAGCUAGUUGGUGGGGUAAAGGCCUACCAAGGCGACGAUGCAUAGCCGACCUGAGAGGGUGAUCGGCCACACUGGGACUGAGACACGGCCCAGACUCCUACGGGAGGCAGCAGUAGGGAAUCUUCCGCAAUGGGCGAAAGCCUGACGGAGCAACGCCGCGUGAGUGAAGAAGGAUUUCGGUUCGUAAAGCUCUGUUGUUAGGGAAGAAUGAUUGUGUAGUAACUAUACACAGUAGAGACGGUACCUAACCAGAAAGCCACGGCUAACUACGUGCCAGCAGCCGCGGUAAUACGUAGGUGGCAAGCGUUGUCCGGAAUUAUUGGGCGUAAAGCGCGCGCAGGUGGUUUAAUAAGUCUGAUGUGAAAGCCCACGGCUCAACCGUGGAGGGUCAUUGGAAACUGUUAAACUUGAGUGCAGGAGAGAAAAGUGGAAUUCCUAGUGUAGCGGUGAAAUGCGUAGAGAUUAGGAGGAACACCAGUGGCGAAGGCGGCUUUUUGGCCUGUAACUGACACUGAGGCGCGAAAGCGUGGGGAGCAAACAGG